GCUGGGUGCGGUGGCACAUGCCUGUAAUCCCAGCAGCUCAGGAGGCUGAGGCAGGAGGAUCGCGGGUUCAAAGCCAGCCUCAGCAAAAGUGAGGUGCUAAGCAACUCAAUGAGACUCUGUUUCUA
rnacentral:sRNA from 1 species